rnacentral:ncRNA from 1 species
UACCUGGUUGAUCCUGCCAGUAGUCAUAUGCUUGUCUAAAAGAUUAAGCCAUGCAUGUGUAAGUAUGAAUUAAUUCAGACUGUGAAACUACGAAUGACUCAUUAAAUCAGUUAUAGUUUGUUUGAUGGUACCUGCAACUCGGAUAACCGUAGUAAUUCUAGAGCUAGUACGUGUAAGAAAUCCUGACCUCUAGAAGGGAUGCAUUUAUUAGAUAAAAGGCCAGCGCGAGCUUUACCCGAUGUUUUGGUGAAUCAUGAUAACUCGACAGAUCGCACGCCCAUUGUGCUGGCGACGCAUCAUUCAAAUUUCUACCAUAUCAACUUUCGAUGGUGGGAUACGAGCCUACCAUGGUGGUGACGGGUGACGGAGGAUUAAGAGGGACAGUCAGAGGCAUUUGUAGUUCAUAGUCAUAGGUGAAAUUUUUGGAUUUAUGAAAGACGAACCACUGCGAAAGCAUUUGCCAAGGAUGUUUUCAUUAAUCAAGAACGAAAGUUGGGGGCUCGAAGACGAUCAGAUACCGUCCUAGUCUCAACCAUAAACGAUGCCAACUAGGGAUCGAUAGAUGUUGCUCUUAGGACUCUAUUGGCACCUUAUGAGAAAUCAAAGUCCUUGGGUUCCUAUUUCUUCUGCACUAUGAAUG